UUCAGUAGAACAUCGGCUAAAUGUAUGCCGUCCUGGCGCAACGCCGCUGCCCCCACACCCUGUGAG
rnacentral:sRNA from 1 species